rnacentral:rRNA from 1 species
CCGGCGCACGGGUGAGUAACACGUAUGCAACCUGCCUGCCACAGCCGGAUAAUCGGGAGAAAUUCCGUCUAAUACGGCAUAAUGCAUCGACGGGACAUCCUGUUGGUGCCAAAGGUUAAUUCCGGUGGCGGAUGGGCAUGCGUCGCAUUAGUUAGUUGGCGGUGUAACGGCCCACCAAGCCGACGAUGCGUAGGGGUUCUGAGAGGAAGGUCCCCCACAUUGGAACUGAGACACGGUCCAAACUCCUACGGAAGGCAGCAG